rnacentral:rRNA from 1 species
UACAGAGGUCUCAAGCGUUGUUCGGAUUCAUUGGGCGUGAAGGGUGCGUAGGCGGCGCGGAAAGUCGGGUGUGAAAUUUCGGAGCUUAACUCCGAAACUGCAUUCGAUACUCCCGUGCUUGAGGACUGGAGAGGAGACUGGAAUUUACGGUGUAGCAGUGAAAUGCGUAGAGAUCGUAAGGAAGACCAGUGGCGAAGGCGGGUCUCUGGACAGUUCCUGACGCUGAGGCACGAAGGCCAGGGGAGCAAACGGG